rnacentral:lncRNA from 1 species
CUUAGAGAAGAUUUUAGAGCCACUUUGGAUGGCUUGAACAGGGUCCUACUUCCUACCAGGGUGGUGGUGAACUGGCCCCACUGUGCAUCAGAGUUUAUUUUGACUGCAUAUUUGUGACAAGAUUUUUGCUUUUACUUUUCAGAUAUAAUAACAGUAACAGUAGUUAAUAGCAUUUAUGUGGUGCUUUAUAGUUUACAAAGCAAUUUACUCAUUAUCUUUUUUGGUCCUCACAACAACGAGGUAAGUGCUGCUCUCUCUGAUCUUACGUAUGAGAAAACUGAGGCCGAGAAGGUUAAAUGAGAGUUAACACAGAUGAGUGAAGCAGGAUUUGAAUUUGGGUCUUUCUAUCUCUGCUACCUUGGGGAAAGAAGGGAAGGGAGGAGAUAGGUUAGGGCUAUUUCCUGGCCCCACAAAGAUGAGAACAGAAGGAAGACCAGAAGGCACAUGGACAAACAGGACCUCACUGAAAGUUGUAAAUGUUGAAUUUCUUGUACUUAUGCAGAAAAGUCAGCACUUUCCUGUAUAAUCCUUCUCUUCAGCAUAUAUGGACAUGCUUAUUUUAUUAGGUGUUUACUAAAUUUAGAAUUUUAAAAAAAUGGAAUAAUACAAAAAAGGCAGAGGCUUUCCCUAAAACAGGAAAGAAUGGGAGAAUGAGAAAUGAGGAUAAAGGAAAAGAGAAAAUGGGGAGUGAAGACAGUGACAAACGAAAGCUAAUAGAAAAUGGGGAGUGAAGACAGUGACAGAUGAGAGCUGAUAGAGACUACAGUGAGGCCUGAGGUGGUUUGAAACCAGGACGAGGAGGUGCUAAUGGCGAGUGUGUGAAAUGAAGGGGUGUAGAAACUGGGUGAGAUGGGGUCCCAGGGAGGCCCAGGGGUGACUCCUCAUGCACUGACUUCUGCGGGGGCUCCUCCCUACCUGAAGGUAAAGUGCUCAUCUUGGAAGGAGGGCGAGUCACAGCCACGUUGAAUGUGACUCCACAGGGGCUUCCGGGGCUCAGUGCUUGUGUCUUUGAUCUGAAGGU